UCAGAUAUAUUUAUACUAGAUCACUAAACAACCAAAUCCUAUUAGUACUCAUAUAUAACUAAAUCUCUAUUAGUACUCAUAUAUAACUAAAUCCCUACUAGUACUCCUAUAUAACUGAAUCCCUACUAGUACUCCUAUUCAACUGAAUCCCUACUAGUACUCCUAUUCAAUUGAAUCCCUACUAGUACUCCUAUAUAACUGAAUCCCUACUAGUACUCCUAUUCAACCGAAUCCCUACUAGUACUCCUAUUCAACUGAAUCCCUACUAGUACUCCGAUUCAACUGGAUCCCUAUACUUGAGGGAUAUUAAACAGAAACAUAUUUUGACAAAUAUUAUUAUAACAGAAAUUCUGAAACUUUAUGCACAUCAGAAAAAGAAAUAACAUCCAGCCAUAGUGCUAAACUAAAACAUGCAUAUUACAAUUAGAAACAUGAAGAGUUUUUCUAUCUAAUUAAGUAAACGAGAAAAUGAACACUACCUUAAAAUAAAAAAAUCCAGUGGUGGAUCUUAAUAUAGACUGGGGCAGGCCUCGGCCCACUCUAAGUCCCCAAUAUUCAACAUAUAUAUAUAUACACACACAAUACUACGUAAUAAAUGUGAAGAAUUUACACCUUGUCGUAGUGACUAACUAAUAUUUUGAAGGCUAAUCAUGUCAGGAGUUCUACACUUGAAAGUUAUAUUUUCUUGAGCAAGAUAUUGAUUAAAGUAUCAAACGCAAAAUAAAUAUUUGAAAUCGCGUUUUUCUUCUUAAAAAAUAACAUGCUAACCACUGGACCAAUUUUGAUUUCAUUACACUUCAUAUAUAAUUUUUUUUUAUAUUAAUGCAUUGUUUAAUUUUUUUGACCCUCCCAUCAAUUUUUUUGAAGCUCUGGCCACUGCGCAUGGAAAAUGAUGACGAGAUUGAAGAGGAAAAAAAAAGUGAUACAAAAACAUUAAUUGGCCCUAUGUUCGAAACGUUUCAUUCUUGAAAGACCAAACCCUAAUUUGCAUUUUACAAAACGAAGAAAAUUUCACAAAGGAAAAGACCCAAAAUCUAAAACACCUAUUCCACUACCCAGAUAAGAUUUAAAAAAAAUAUAAUGAAAUUUAGGUUGAAUAGCCCUUAAGCGGAGAAGAAAAGAAAUACGCGAGGGUUCCGAUAGGGUUUCAAAAAAGAAAUUGAUUGAGCAAAUGAAAACCAAGACGGAAAAGAUGAAUGAAUACAGAGGAAAUUGAAAUGCAUAUGUAUGAAAAGGUAACGCGAUAGAUCGAUAAAACGCAUGAAACAAAGCGGAAAGAAAGAGUCAUAAUAACAAUGAUAAUAAUGAUAUAAAGAAAAAGAAAAAGAAAUCGAAGGGACAUACCGAAGAGAUAGAUAAGAGAAUCGGAGGCAAUAGCAAGGUUUGUCGGCGUCGAAAUUUUGUGGCUAUGGGAAGAUGUAGCUAAGCUGAACGAUGGAUCUUGUUGAUUUUGAAUACCCUUUCUAUCUAUCUAUCUAUCGUUAGCUACCACAUUAUUUAUGUAAUGUACGUGUCUCUGUGUGUGUUUCUCUUUCUGUUUCUGUUUCGGUUUUUUCUAAUCUUUUCCUUUAUUCACUAACCACCCAGUUACUAUUCCGAACAUUAAGUAUUUACAUUUAUAUGACGAUUCCACUAUAAAUGUAAUAAUAGGUUCUUAUAAAUAGAAAAUAUAUUGCUGCUUCUUAUAUUUAAUAAAUCCUCAAUUUAACACUGUAUUAUCGACUUACUCUUUAACCUAUUCAAAUGAAUUAGGUCUUCAACGAUUAAAAUUAAUUAGAAGAUUUUUAAACUGUU
rnacentral:lncRNA from 1 species